rnacentral:lncRNA from 1 species
UGCUAUGCUAUUACAAGCAUUCAUCUCAAGGAUUAUUACAUCUUAUAAUAUUACAUAAGCCUUUAGAUUAUUACAACUUAUACAAUUUACUACAAGUUUGUUUCUUUCACUCUGAACUCUAUGCUAGAAUACUUCAGGGUAAUGCUAUCUCGAUCUCAGUGGUAGGGCGCUAUCUACGGAGCUACGCCCUUUCCUCGCGCGCCGCGCCGCUCACGUGUGUACCUGUAUCCCCAAAAACACGGGGGUGAGAACUAUAUAAAUAUAGUUCCCAGUGGGUACGGCCACCCAAGGGAAGAGCUCGACCCACCAGGUCCAAAGAAGGCACUGUAACAUGUUAGUCCAACAGAUAAUCACAAGUAAUUUAUGCAGAUAUUAAAACAUGUAUGCCUCACGAUAUGCAAUAUGCAUUUUCAUGCAACUCUAUGCAACUAUGCAACCAAUCAGUAGAUCUAUUGAUUCUACAUUCAAUUCUGCUAAUCCUAGCUCAUGUCAUUUAGCUCUAAGGUUUCUACUACCUUAGCUCCUGCUAUUUAUCGCUAACUUUUAAGGCUUCUACCGCCUUAACCAAGCUAACCGCCCGACUCGGCCUCAAGUCAAUCAUUCGCGGACUACCGCGCACUGGCACCGCACUCAUUGACUUAACCAUCUGGCGACGAAAUCGUCGCACACGCCGAACAAUGGUUCAAGCCUCUGGGUGGUGAACUCUGCGCACACACCCCCUUUCCUCCCUUGGUAUCAAUCUCAGCGGCGAAAUCGUCGCACACGCCCUAGCCUUGAUACCAAGGUCAUCACAGGUCUUGGGAUUUCGGAAUCCAUUUCCACAACUUAAGGGUUUACUCACUUACCCUAUGGCGACGACAUUCCUAGGCCUAACUCAAUUUUUUUCCUAGUGGUCCUUCUACCACUAUAACCCAUAACCACUAUGCAUCAUAACCUAGGUUCACUCACACUAGGUUCUAUGUCAAUUCACCUAGAUCUUGACUCUAGGUUUACUUGCUUGACCUAUGUCCAAUGACACUAGGUUCAUGUCCGACCUAUGUUUAUACACUAGGUUCAUGCCACUCGAUCUAUAUAAUGUCCAACCUAUGUUUAAUACACUAGGUUCAUGCCACUCGAUCUAUAUGUCAUCCUAGGUAUCCUUGCCUAGGUUCAUAGUUUACAUACUCUCAUUUACCUUGUCACAAUCGAGGUUUCUAAUCAACUAGAAUUAUCGACAUUCAUAUAGCUUGAACUAUAAUACAUUUAUAUGUAUCUAGCAUUCAUAUUCAUAUGAUAACCAUCAUAGAUCAUCUAGCAUUAACCAUCAUAUGUCAACGAUCAUAAUAUGUCAACAAUCAUAUAUGCCUACUCAUAUGCAUCUAGCAUUUAUGUUCACAUAUCAACAAUCAUAUUCAUAUAUGCGUCAAAUGAAACCACGCUUUACUUUGGCAUGGAAGCGACCUAAUCGCUUCGGUAAAGCACAACCCACAUUUACUUUAUACCGGAACGUGAGAAAUUCACUUCCCACACUUUUCCAAGAAUCGUGAUCCGCGCUCGCGACAAUUGAAGCCAAAAUGGGGUUUUCCUCGCUAGCUUGCCGUAGGCUCGUCGGAAUGUCGAACCGAGCUUUCCAACGCAUUCGCUUUAUCCUCAAUUAGAUUUAUACGCGAUCAAUUCCAAACGAGACUUCCAAAUCUACAAAAGUGCAUUAUCGAGGUUAGGUUCCAAUGAACCUAUCACUAUUCAAACCUUUAUGCAGGUUCUACAAGAACCUAUAUAGCAACUAAGAACUCCAACUAAUUACCUUAGGCAUACUAGAGGUCAACUCUUUUAGGAUUAAUCCAUCUCAAUUUCUUAUCUCCAACCAUCACUCAUAAAUACAUACAUGCAUACGCACACACAUAUGCUACCAGCAUAGUUGGGAAUUCAGCUUUAGUAAGCUGAAUUCAGCUUACUCACAUAUAGUACCUAUAGCUUUUAUAGGAUUCUAUGUCAAAUUCAGCAACUCAAGCUAAAUCUCUUCAUAAAGUAGCUACCAUAGGCUUCAACCAAAUACUCAAAAAUAUAAGGAAUUAACUCCCUGUACAAACAUCACACAUAGCAGCCCAAAUGGAUACAUGCUGCUAGCUUAAUUCUCAAAGCCUUUGUCUAUAUUUUCAUAAUAAGCAUGCUUCACUAAGCAAGAAAUCCAAACCACGUUCAUUUUAGGGUGAAUAGAACCAGCCCUAACACAAAACACAACUAAUCUUGUUAUAGAGAUAUAGCAAUCUCACCUCGGACUCGCUCUCCAACAAGAUUUCCCAUUGCCGCAGCUUCUUCUCAACUCCAACAGCACCCUCACCACUUCUCCUUCCACCACCCACUCCACUUGGGUUGAGGGAGAGAGGAAAAGAAAAACCAAAAGGAGGAGAAGAACAAAAGAAACGAGAAAAGAGAAGGAAGAGUCCCUGUUCUUGAUCUUCUUCACAGCCACAACCAAACUCCACCUUUUUUUUUCUCCUUCAAUCCCCCCUACAUGCGGUUUUAGAGAGAGAGAGGGAAAGGAAAUGAAA